rnacentral:tRNA from 1 species
GCCCCCAUAGCUCAGUGGAUAGAGCGGCGGACUCCUAAGCCGUGCGCCUGGGUUCGAUUCCCAGUGGGGGUA